rnacentral:rRNA from 1 species
AAUWWYMUAGGCYUGAGCUCUGGGUCCACCUCCCACCCGUGUUUAUCGUACCUUGUUGCUUCGGCGGGCCCGCCUCACGGCCGCCGGGGGGCAUCCGCCCCCGGGCCCGCGCCCGCCGAAGACACACAAACGAACUCUUGUCUGAAGAUUGCAGUCUGAGUACUUGACUAAAUCAGUUAAAACUUUCAACAACGGAUCUCUUGGUUCCGGCAKCGAUGAAGAACGCAGCGAAAUGCGAUAAGUAAUGUGAAUUGCAGAAUUCAGUGAAUCAUCGAGUCUUUGAACGCACAUUGCGCCCCCUGGUAUUCCGGGGGGCAUGCCUGUCCGAGCGUCAUUGCUGCCCUCAAGCACGGCUUGUGUGUUGGGCUCUCGCCCCCCGCUUCCGGGGGGCGGGCCCGAAAGGCAGCGGCGGCACCGCGUCCGGUCCUCGAGCGUAUGGGGCUUCGUCACCCGCUCUGUAGGCCCGGCCGGCGCCCGCCGGCGAACACCAUCAAUCUUAACCAGGUUGACCUCGGAUCAGGUAGGGAUACCCGCUGAACUUAAGCAUAUCAAUAAGCGGAGGAA